rnacentral:rRNA from 1 species
AUGAACGCUGGCGGCGUGCUUCACCCAUGCAAGUCGAACGGAAAGGCCCAAGCUUGCUUGGGUACUCGACUGGCGAACGGGUGAGUAACACGUGGGUGAUCUGCCCUGCACUUCGGGAUAAGCCUGGGAAACUGGGUCUAAUACCGGAUAGGACCACUUCUUGGAUGUUGUGGUGGAAAGUUUUUUCGGUGUGGGAUGAGCUCGCGGCCUAUCAGCUUGUUGGUGGGGUAAUGGCCUACCAAGGCGUCGACGGGUAGCCGGCCUGAGAGGGUGUACGGCCACAUUGGGACUGAGAGACGGCCCAGACUCCUACGGGAGGCAGCAGUGGGGAAUAUUGCACAAUGGGCGCAAGCCUGAUGCAGCGACGCCGCGUGGGGGAUGACGGCCUUCGGGUUGUAAACUCCUUUCGCUAGGGACGAAGCGUUUUGUGACGGUACCUGGAGAAGAAGCACCGGCUAACUACGUG